rnacentral:lncRNA from 1 species
CUCGGAGCUUUGCUGAAACUGCACAAAAAAUCGAGCUGGGGGGUUCCCUGGUCCCCGAUGUUGGGGCGGAGAGCGCGGCGCCGAGGGAGGGGGCGGCGCAGACCGGCCUAGGGGACACCUGGUCGAGCGCAGCCGCCGCUCCGCUCGAGCCCUGCGCUCCAGUGCCCCCACUGGCUGGAGAGCUCGCCCAGACCGGGGGUCUUCCUCCGUCGCUGACAGAUUUUAACCAUUAGAAGAAUACCAGUUCUGGAAAACAACCAAAGUUUCUUUGAUUGAAUGCCCAUGUAAUGCAUUGGAAUAUGAUAGGCGAUUAAGGUUUAACAAUGUUAAAAUGAAGAUAUUACUAAAAUGGCCCUCUAAAUAGCCCAACAAUUAUUAUUUUCUUUGUCCUAUGGAUUUGGCUUUGAAAGAUGUGCUGCUCUUAAUAAGCUUUUCAUUCUGCCGGCCAUACUUUUUCUCCCUACUCUGGACGCCUCUAGAUGACUCCAGCUGUGCUCUCCUUCGUAAUCUACACACCCUCCUCAACCAUACCCUGGACCAGUCAUGUCCUCAUCUCAGACACGACUUUUCUGCAUUAAUUCUCUCUCUCGGGCAGAAACCUACGUGUUCCUCUUCCAGAGAGCUGGUGAAGCCAAAGGCAUUCUCAUAAUGAUGCGCUACACCGACUGACAUUUACCAACUGUGUCAAAGCUACAGGAGCCAGGUAGACACUGCUGGAACUUUAACGGGAAUCAAACAAGUCUAUAAGAAGCACUGAGCUGUGCCACUACCCAAUCAGUGUUCUUCCAGAGCACACAAACGAAAGUGGGAGGAGCCUUCCAAUGAGAACUGUUGUGUGAUUAAUCAAUGAGGCUGACUAAAGCACACACUUAUAAUCCCAAUACUCAGAAAGACAGAGGAAGAAGGAUAUCAGCGCAAGGCCAACAAGGCUUCAAAGCAAGUACCAACCCAGUAUGGACCAUGAGACCCUAUUUCAGAAACAAAUAAUAAAAGCUUGAUGAAGCUGCAAAAAUUACUCAUUUUAUCAAUCCCUAUUCUUGUAUACUGAACUAUACACAAAGGCACUUGUGUGGCCAGUGGGUGCGGUCAGAAAGGAGUACAGGCUCACGUGACUCAGCUACAAGCUGAGACAGCUGCUGCUAUUAGGAAAACAAUGGAAGCCAGCAGUAUGUAGAUUUAGGGAGCUGACAAAUCCUGAAAAUGAAUAAAAUGAGCUGGGUACUUCCAGAAACACGAUACUUCUUGACCAUGAAAAGGAAAAAGGCUGGGUUUUUAUGUUAAAAUUUGAAUUUUUGCAAAAUGUACUUAUAAUCUUCCCAUUAAAGAUGCUGAUAAAUAGUAAAGUUAA